rnacentral:rRNA from 1 species
AUUGAACGCUGGCGGAAUGCUUUACACAUGCAAGUCGAGCGGCAGCGCGGGGCAACCUGGCGGCGAGCGGCGAACGGGUGAGUAAUACAUCGGAACGUGCCCAGACGUGGGGGGAUAACUACUCGAAAGAGUGGCUAAUACCGCAUACGAUCUACGGAUGAAAGCGGGGGAUCGCAAGACCUCGCGCGUCUGGAGCGGCUGAUGGCAGAUUAGGUAGUUGGUGGGAUAAAAGCUACCAAGCCAACGAUCUGUAGCUGGUCUGAGAGGAUGAUCAGCCACACUGGGACUGAGACACGGCCCAGACUCCUACGGAGGCAGCAGUGGGAAUUUGGAACAAUGGGCGAAAGCCUGAUCCAGCCAUUCCGCGUGCAGGAUGAAGGCCUCGGUUGUAAACUGCUUUUGUACAGAACGAAAAAGACUCUGGCUAAUACCUAGGAGUCCAAU